GACGAACGCUGGCGGCGUGCUUAACACAUGCAAGUCGAACGGUAAGGCCCUUCGGGGUACACGAGUGGCGAACGGGUGAGUAACACGUGGGUGAUCUGCCCUGCACUUCGGGAUAAGCCUGGGAAACUGGGUCUAAUACCGGAUAGGACCACUGCCUGCAUGGGUGGUGGUGGAAAGCUUUUGCGGUGUGGGAUGGGCCCGCGGCCUAUCAGCGUGUUGGGGGGGUGAUGGCCUACCAAGGCGACGACGGGUAGCCGGCCUGAGAGGGUGACCGGCCACACUGGGACGGUGAUACGGCCCAGACUCCUACGGGAGGCAGCAGUGGGGAAUAUUUCACAAUGGGCGCAAGCCUGAUGCAGCGACGCCGCGUGAGGGAUGACGGCCUUCGGGUUGUAAACCUCUUUCAGCACCGACGAAGCGCAAGUGACGGUAGGUGCAGAAGAAGGACCGGCCAACUACGUGCCAGCCGCCGCGGUAA
rnacentral:rRNA from 1 species